UACGUAGGGGGCAAGCGUUAUCCGGAUUUACUGGGUGUAAAGGGAGCGUAGACGGCAUAGCAAGUCUGAAGUGAAAGCCCGUGGCUCAACCGCGGAACUGCUUUGGAAACUGUGCAGCUCGAGUGCAGGAGAGGUAAGCGGAAUUCCUAGUGUAGCGGUGAAAUGCGUAGAUAUUAGGAGGAACACCAGUGGCGAAGGCGGCUUACUGGACUGUAACUGACGUUGAGGCUCGAAAGCGUGGGGAGCAAACAGG
rnacentral:rRNA from 1 species